rnacentral:tRNA from 17 species
UGGGGCGUGGCCAAGUGGUAAGGCAACGGGUUUUGGUCCUGUUACUCGGAGGUUCGAAUCCUUCCGUCCCAG